rnacentral:rRNA from 1 species
GACGAACGCUGGCGGCGUGCCUAAUACAUGCAAGUUGAGCGCUGAAGGUUGGUACUUGUACUGACUGGAUGAGCAGCGAACGGGUGAGUAACGCGUGGGGAAUCUGCCUUUGAGCGGGGGACAACAUUUGGAAACGAAUGCUAAUACCGCAUAAAAACUUUAAACACAAGUUUUAAGUUUGAAAGAUGCAAUUGCAUCACUCAAAGAUGAUCCCGCGUUGUAUUAGCUAGUUGGUGAGGUAAAGGCUCACCAAGGCGAUGAUACAUAGCCGACCUGAGAGGGUGAUCGGCCACAUUGGGACUGAGACACGGCCCAAACUCCUACGGGAGGCAGCAGUAGGGAAUCUUCGGCAAUGGACGAAAGUCUGACCGAGCAACGCCGCGUGAGUGAAGAAGGUUUUCGGAUCGUAAAACUCUGUUGGUAGAGAAGAACGUUGGUGAGAGUGGAAAGCUCAUCAAGUGACGGUAACUACCCAGAAAGGGACGGCUAACUACGUG